rnacentral:rRNA from 1 species
AUGAACGCUGGCGGCGUGCCUAAUACAUGCAAGUCGAGCGCACGGACGAGAAGCUUGCUUCUCUGAUGUUAGCGGCGGACGGGUGAGUAACACGUGGAUAACCUACCUAUAAGACUGGGAUAACUUCGGGAAACCGGUGCUAAUACCGGAUAAUAUUUUGAACCGCAUGGUUCAAAAGUGAAAGACGGUCUUGCUGUCACUUAUAGAUGGAUCCGCGCUGCAUUAGCUAGUUGGUAAGGUAACGGCUUACCAAGGCAACGAUGCAUAGCCGACCUGAGAGGGUGAUCGGCCACACUGGAACUGAGACACGGUCCAGACUCCUACGGGAGGCAGCAGUAGGGAAUCUUCCGCAAUGGGCGAAAGCCUGACGGAGCAACGCCGCGUGAGUGAUGAAGGUCUUCGGAUCGUAAAACUCUGUUAUUAGGGAAGAACAUAUGUGUAAGUAACUGUGCACAUCUUGACGGUACCUAAUCAGAAAGCCACGGCUAACUACGUG